UGAGUAACCUGCCCUUCACUCUGGGAUAACUCCGGGAAACCGGGGCUAAUACUGGAUAUGACUCGAACAGGCAUCUGUUUCGGGUGGAAAGAUUUAUUGGUAGAGGAUGGACUCGCGGCCUAUCAGCUUGUUGGUGAGGUAAUGGCUCACCAGGGCGACGACGGGUAGCCGGCCUGGGAGGGUGACCGGCCACACUGGGACUGAGACACGGCCCAGACUCCUACGGGAGGCA
rnacentral:rRNA from 1 species